GUUAAAAGGGGCUGAAGUAGAAAACUUUCCUCCAGAUCCAGCAGCAUUUGUGUUUGCUCUCCAGCUUGCAUGGGCUGGGAGGGGGGAACGGAAGGGAGAGAUGGCAGAUACUGCAGAGCGUGCGGCUGCUGGCUCACCAGCUUGCUUUCGUUUUAGAGAGAGAGGAGACAUGGGGGAGAAGCCCUCGUGCAGCCUUCCUCCCUUGGAGGCCUUUUGCAGAAGGAGCCCUUCUGGUGCUGCUUUCCCAGCCCCAGCAUGCAGCCUGCUGGAGCUGAGGGGCUCUGUCCCGUAGGAGGCUGGGGUGGAAACACAGAUGCUUUGCAGAGUUCAGCCUGCCCACCUGGUGAUCAACUGCUCCAACUUCUCAACAGGCAGCACGGCCGGGACAAGCACAUGGCAGGAGCAGCGAGGGAGGUGGUGCGUGGUGUGCGGUACAAGGAGCCUGAAAGCAAGAGCUGCUCAGCAGGACAGUGAAGUUGUUUUGCAAGACAGGUGGCUGUGGGGUCUCUUUGGUCAGCGGGAUUGGAAGAGAGCCAUCGUCUGCUUCCUCGAUGGUCUGCCAGCCCAUGUGUUUGAAGAUGAUAAUGCAGCUCUUCUUCCUGUGAGGGGUAGCAAGUAUCCCUCUCCUUUGCUUCCCUGCCUAGCAGAGGCUGCUGACCGAUGCUGCACGAUGCAAGAUGCACUUCUCCCUCUCCAUCCUGGCAGCAUAAAGAAGGACUAAGCCUGUGACCUUGGGAAUUGAUGUGACCCACUCACAAAAGAGAAGGCUUUCACUCCAGAGCCCGGGUGGUUGUGUAGUGCCAUGUGUACAACCAAAUAUAGCCUUCCUGCCAUUCAGACAGAAAGCAGCAUGUUUUGGAGCAACUUCCCUGGGAGGGGGAGGAACAGAUGUUGGAACCAGAAGCGUAUGUGACAGUUGGGAGAGACAGCGUGGAAACGCACAGUUGAAAGGAGAAGUCUGAUGGGAGUGUGAUGACAGCAGCAGGACUCCAGUGACAAGGAGUGGGAAGGAGAACAAGCAGAGAGGAGUGUUACUUCGAAAGCCGAGCAAAGUGCACAAGAAGAUGUGUCAGGAAAGCGUCAGGGAAAGGAAGGGAGGAAAUGUGAGAGUAGAGACAGGCUUUGGGAUCUGUCUGCAAGCACGUGUGACCUGUUGCCUGACAAACAGAGAAAGGAAAAGCUUUUAUUUCUCUGCCGCCUUUGGCUGGGCUAACUCUGCUUGCAGCCAAGCUGGCCGGCUAGCCAUGGUGGAGUCUUCAGGCGUCCUGGUAGCACCUGGGAAAGGUAAAGCUGCCUGUGCUUCAACCAGAGCUCUGAACUCCUGGGGUAAUGCAUGUUAGGGACUACAGCAGGGAUGCUGGAUCGCCCAGGCCUUCCUUCAGCCCGCUGUCUUUGCAGGGUAGCACAGUAGCCACGUGCCUUGGGAUGCUGAAAACGGGGGGAGCGGUGCCAUCCUCGUAACAGGCUUCCCCUCUGAAAUUGCAUUCGUCGUAAGGGUAGGAUGCAUGAGGAGAGGCAGAGAACAAGUGAGCGUGUGUUCCUCCUGCAGCAGGGAGGGACUCUCCAGCAGCGCCAUACCCUGGUGAUAUAAAUCACCUCUCUGCAGUGUCCGGUUUUACCUUAGUUCAGCAGAUGUGCAAGGCACACUGGGAGCGUGCCGCUGGAGUGUAAAGCCCCUGAUCUUACAGAGACUGCAAGAGCAGGGGGAGGGGGUGCUGCAACUUCUCCCGCAGAAGGAUUUACGAGUGAUUUUUUUCUGCAGACCCCUGCCUGCACGUGGGUUUGCCAGUGACACCCCCCCUUCCGCCCAGUGUGGCUCGGGAGGUGCCAACUGGCCAGUUUUGCUUUGUGCUUUCCUUUGGGGAGGGGGAAAUUUCAGAGUGGUUGGCAGAUAGACACCAGCCGUGGCUGGCUCCGCAGGGAGCUGGGAUGUAUCCCUAAAUGUUGCAUGGCUGGUGGCUCCCUCCCCCUCCAUGCAUGUCUUGCAGUGAAAUCCCAACAAAUUAGGGGACAGGCAUGGCAAUAGGACUGCACGGAUGUGCAAGGCUGUACGAGCUGGCAGCAGUGACAUUUCCCAUGUAUGCACAAGUAUCUCUCCCCUUCCCUAAGCACCGUGCUCCCUGUGAGGCUGAGGCCAGGGUGUAGGAUGCAGCUCAGGGAUGUGUCUGGCACUGCUGGGGGGUCAGGGGCCUUGCCAGGGGCAGUGAAUGGCACAGACUGUGCAGGUCGAGGUGUUAGUUUAGUUAUUUAUUACGAUGAGGGAGCUGAUGGGGAGAAACAAGAGGGGAAAGCAGGGGAGAGUCUUCCCUCCUUGUUAGGGCGCGUACUUGUGGCUGGAAUGAUUCAUCCCACGCAUGCAAUUGUGUUCAGCUGUGCGCUCAUUGUGCUAACCAUCAUGUGAGGGUCAGAGUGGGCUGCGACAAAGCCUGGGGGUGCUCCAGGCUCCCCGCUGCUCUGGGGGCUGUUAGUCCUGCUGGUUUUCCCCUUGGGGAAGGGAGGCAGAAGCUAGCUUCUCUCCUGGCCUGCCGCUGGCAGGAGCAGCUCCAGACAGAAGCAGUUGUGCUGGGACCUCCCGUAGGUGCUAAACGAGGGGAAAACACCAGCUCCUUGGGGUCUGAGGCACGCUGGUUCUCUCCCAGCUGGUAUUUAGGGACUCCUCGACUUGCCUCCAGCCCCUUGUCACUAAGCCAGUCCUUGCUGGCCCACGUGCUGCUCUGCAGCAGGGCAGGAUGUCCCGAGGGGGACGACAACCUUCCCCAGUGACAGCAAGUAAGUUCCCCUCGGCUGAUCCCACCAUCUGCUCGCCUGCUCCUGGGCUGCCAUGAGGGCCAGGGGCUCUGCCAAGCGGGGUCCCGGCUGGCCAGGCUCCUUGCAGGGCGGGUUAUGAGGCAGCCCAUCCAGCAGCCAAGUGCUCUCGGCCAAGAUGCUGUAGCAGCACAAGGGCGGUUGAAGAAACAGCUUGGUGAAGGUGUGUUUGUGGCAUGGCAAAAGCGUGUUUAUGUGAAAACCUGCAGGAUCUACCUAUGCUUCCUCAUCGGGAGCAGAUAGAUGCUGCAGGCUCUUGGCGAAAGGGGUCUAGGUGAUGUAAAAGGUGAUGUAAAGGCAAUGCAGGCCUCUCUGCUCUCCGGUGCCUGCACUGAUGGACUCAGCUGCAGGUCCCUGCUCAGACCUGGUCUGGGGCAGAGCUGUGGGUGGUGAUCAAUGAGAACCACUUCCAAAGCCUCCCCCAUAGGAGGUGAGUUAGGGACAGUGCGGUUUGUGCUGUUUGCCCGGCUGAGGCAAUGAUGUGGGGUCUGGUUGCGAGGGGCAUAAGGGGACCUGCAGGCCCCCGGUGUGGUUUCAGUGACGAUGACAAUGGAGGAGCAGGCACCUUGGGCAUUUUGACCCAGGACUGACAAACAUCACAGCAGCGGUACCCUGCAUCCCCAGACAUUUUGCUCUGUGCAGCAGAAUUGCACCUUUCUGACUAACUUGCACCAGAUCUUGGCCUCUGACUUUGGUAAGAGUCAGGAUCAGACCCAGGGUGUCUUUUCUAAAGUUACUCAUGCAGCUACUGAAAUUAAAAUCUCGUGAGCAAGGACCUGUCUUCCCUGCAGUCUCAAUUCAGAGUAACAGAGUGGCCUUUAGUCUCCAGAGAUAGUUUAAAAACCUUCUCAAGGUCUGUGCUUCUCAUGAAAAAGAUAAUUCAUACAGUACUUGCCACAUCUGACAGAGUUGGCAGCCUUUGUUCAAUACAGUAACAGCGCUGUGCGCCGAAUUAAUCAGGGAUUCAGCUCCACGCAGCCUUGUACCUGGGAAACAGGGCAUCGCUAAACCCUGCGAAGGUGUGGGAGCGGCAUUGGGAACACAGGCUGCGUGUGAUUUCUGUGUCAGCCAUACCAGCCCAGGCUUGUUCGGAAGGUUUCCUUAGGACCAGCGGCGUGAGUUGCUCUUGCUGUCGCUGCAGUUGCGCUCGCAGAGCAGUAUAUCACCCGGCAUUUUAUGCUUGCCUAGGAAAGGGAGCCCGAAUCCCCUUCCUGCACGGAGAGCUGACAGACCGGGGGCCAACGCACAACCCCUGGCAUUUUUUAUUUACUGUAGACCUCUUAAAUGAAGGCUGUGAGAUUUUUUUCAUUUGCCACAUUACUGUAUGGAACCAAUCACUAUAAAUUUAAAUGGAGAGCUGGUAGGAGCACACUUACCUUUUAUAUAAUAAUUGUGAGAGUGGCACUGCCGAACUGCUAUUAGGAUUAUUCAGACCUUCUCAGAUUUCAGUGUAAAACAUUAGGCUGCCAGAGGUACUGUAAGGGUGUGAUUAUUCUAAGAGGGUAAGUAGUAGUGAGCUGUGUUGGCCAGAAUUACUACAACAGACAAGUAGUGCUUAGUAGCUGGGAGUAGGGGAAGCUGAAAAGUAUAAUCUGCCGUUCAGAAAUACAGCAGUCUGCAUGUAGAGUCCAGCCUGAUUUCUAUCUGGAUCUGCACCGACUUGAUGACUUGGUUCUUAAAUUAUCACCGGGGAUCAUCUGAAUCGUCGGCUGAGCAUAGGUGUUAACCCUGGGCCCAGCACUCCUCUGGGGAGCCGAAAAAAUGGAAACAAUGCAGCAAAAACGUCACACUGGUGCUUGAGCCAACGUGGUUACGCUGCUUUGUGGCACUGGAGAGUCAUGCUCUUAAUUUGAUGGGAUCUACUGGUGAAGACCUGCCCCAGGUCCAGCUGUGCUGGCAGAGGAGACCUUCUGUGAGCAGUGCUGAAAAGGGUUGUGGUGCUGGGAGGGAUCUUGCCGAGUGUGCCCAGCUACCCUGCUGCGGGCAUUGUCCCUCUUCCCAUAUCACCUCAGAAAGGACAAGGCAUUGGCAACUUGUUCUAGGAGGCAGGGAGAAAAGAGCAAUGCUGGAUGUACGCUCCUAGGCUGCCUUGAUUUUCUCCUGUGAUUGAGAUUUUGAUUUUGCAUCCCAUAUGAUUUUCCUGUUAUAACACACGCCUCUUGGCUGUCACUAUAACAAUGCCUUU